rnacentral:lncRNA from 12 species
UCUCUCUCUUCACUUGAACUGUAUGAGUGUAAACCAUUCUUAAAAUGCAAACCAUGCUGUCAGCUUGCUUUCCUUAUGUUUAUUCAUGAUUUUUAGAUAAAUAUAACUAAAUAUAGUCACAUCAUGUUUAGAUAAAAAAAAAAAAAAAAAAAUUCUAUCAAGCUGUCAAAUCUGAUCAUGUUCUCUUGACCUCUUCUUCCAGAGCUUCAUCUCGUGAUCUUCCUGGACCAUGAGUGGUGGUGUGAACCUGAAGACGAUGUCUCAGAGCGGCUCUGGUAUUCCUCUGCCGCGGAGCCUCUCCAAACGGGACACCAGAGGCUUGAGCGGCACGUUACUGGGUCCAGCCGCCCAAAACCAGCUGGCUGGACGAACAUCCACAUUAUCUUCCUCAGCCUCAUCCAUAUCGUCUCUAUCGAUCUCAAAGGAGUUACUCAGAGGGUCUUCACAAGGAACACAUGGGACGUCCGGUGGCACAAACAGGCCCUCUUUUGCUCCCCUUUCGGCCCACAGCAGCCCACAUGUGCCCAGACGAGAGACGCUCCCAUUCAAAAACAACCUCCGGAGGGGCUCGUUGCCCCAGGAUGGAUUCAGAGACAUGGAGAGACACUCCAACAAGAACUGGAGAUCUGGCCGUCAUCACUUCAGGAGUCUAGACAAUGAGGUUGUUGAAUCUUCUCGAGAGCAACAGACGGGUCAAGCCCUUCGCAAGCCUACCAACGGGAACGUCAUUUGGGAAACGUCAGCAGCUGUUCAGAGGGACUUUCAGAAGCAGCGGAUGGAAAUGCUGGCUCGUGGUUACAGCAACAGAGGAACGAUUGCGUCUAAAUCCCAGGUGAACGGCACAAACGUGUGUCCUCCAGGAAGGGAGUCUCCACGUAUGGCAGCGGUGGCACCUUUCAGAUACAGGCUGCAGGUUGGAGAGGACACUGAAGCUUCUCUUGAGGAUCUGAGCGAUUGUUCCUCAGACUCUGUGGAAGUGUGCUGUGAGGAUUUAGGUGAGUCUCUUCAAAAAUUCCUCCAAUAAACAUGACCGCAGGAUUUUUUUUUUUUUUUUUUUUUUUUUUUUUUUUUUUUUUUUUUUUUUUUUUUUUUUUUUUUUUUUUUUUUUUUUUUUUUUUUUUUUUUUUUUUUUUUUUUUUUUUUUUUUUUUUUUUUUUUUUUUUUUUUUUUUUUUUUUUUUUUUUUUUUUUUUUUUUUUUUUUUUUUUUUUUUUUUUUACACACACACACACACACACACACACACACACACACACACACACACACACACACACACACACACACACACACACACACACACACACACACACACACACACACACACACACACACACACACACACACACACACACACACACACACACACACACACACACAACACACACACACACACACACACACACACAAUCUGUAGAAGAAUGUGUAAAGCAAAUCCUGAGUCUUAUUACAAAUAUUCUCAGAUAUGGGAAUAAUGUGUAUCACCGUGAAUUUACAG